AGCAGCCGCGGUAAUUCCAGCUCCAAUAGCGUAUAUUAAAGUUGUUGCAGUUAAAAAGCUCGUAGUUGAAUUUCGGGAUUAGUACGCUGGUCGUGCCUUCGGUAUGUACUGGUGUUACUGAUUCCUACCUUCUGACGAAUCGUCAUGUCAUUAAUUUGGUGUGGCGGGGAAUCAGGACUGUUACUUUGAAAAAAUUAGAGUGUUUAAAGCAGGCUCGCGCUUGAAUACAUUAGCAUGGAAUAAUGAAAUAGGACGUUUGAUCCUAUUUUGUUGGUUUCUAGGAUUGACGUAAUGAUUAAUAGGGAUAGUUGGGGGCAUUAGUAUUCAAUUGUCAGAGGUGAAAUUCUUGGAUUUAUUGAAGACUAACUACUGCGAAAGCAUUUGCCAAGGAUGUUUUCAUUAAUCAAGAACGAAAGUUAGGGGAUCGAAGACGAUCAGAUACCGUCGUAGUCUUAACCAUAAACUAUGCCGACUAGGGAUCGGAUGAUGUUAAUUUUUUAAUGUACUCAUUCGGCGUACC
rnacentral:rRNA from 1 species